GAUGAACGCUGGCGGCGUGCCUAAUACAUGCAAGUCGAGCGAACAGACGAGGAGCUUUCUCCUCUGACUUUAGCGGCGGACGGGUGAGUAACACGUGGAUAACCUACCUAUAAGACUGGGAUAACUUCGGGAAACCGGAGCUAAUACCGGAUAAUAUAUUGAACCGCAUGGUUCAAUAGUUAAAUACGGUUUUUCUUUCACUUAUAGAUUGAUCCGCGCCGCAUUAGCUAGUUGGUAAGGUAACUGCUUAACAAGGCAACGAUUCGUAGCCGACCUGAGAGGGUGAUCGGCCACACUGGAACUGAGACACGGUCCAGACUCCUACGGGAGGCAGCAGUAGGGAAUCUUCCGCAAUGGGCGAAAGCCUGACGGAGCAAAGCCGCGUGAGUGAUGAAGGUCUUAGGAUCGUAAAACUCUGUUAUUCGGGAAGAACAAAUGUGUAAGUACCUAUGCACGUCUUGACGGUACCUAAUCAGAAAGCCACGGCUAACUACGUG
rnacentral:rRNA from 1 species